UACGAAGGGGGCUAGCGUUGCUCGGAAUUACUGGGCGUAAAGGGCGCGUAGGCGGACAUUUAAGUCAGGGGUGAAAUCCCAGAGCUCAACUCUGGAACUGCCUUUGAUACUGGGUGUCUUGAGUGUGAUAGAGGUAUGUGGAACUCCGAGUGUAGAGGUGAAAUUCGUAGAUAUUCGGAAGAACACCAGUGGCGAAGGCGACAUACUGGAUCAUUACUGACGCUGAGGCUCGAAAGCGUGGGGAGCAAACAGG
rnacentral:rRNA from 1 species